UACAGAGGUGGCAAGCGUUGUUCGGAAUUACUGGGCGUAAAGGGCGCGUAGGCGGCCUUCUAAGUCAGACGUGAAUCCCCCGGCUUAACCUGGGAACUGCGUCUGAUACUGGAAGGCUUGAGUGCGGGAGAGGAUGUGGAAUUCACGGUGUAGCGGUGAAAUGCGUAGAUAUCAGGAGGAACACCGGUGGCGAAGGCGGCUUCCUGGACAAAACUGACGCUGAGGCGACGAAGACUAGGGGAGCAAACAGGAUUAG
rnacentral:rRNA from 1 species